rnacentral:misc_RNA from 1 species
AUUAAUUUUUUUUUUUUUUUAACUGAGCUAUGCAUAUAAAAAUUUUAUGCAGUGGGAGUGCUGCUUACAUAUUGUGCACUAUUAUUUAUGUUCUGACGACCACAACAUAAUUUAUCCUAAUUUUCUAGGGUUAGGUACACUGUUGCUUCAUCAGUUCAGUUCAUUUUGUUUUCCAAAAUCAUCUGUGUCAUAUUUCUUUCUUUCUCUGGUUUUAUGGUUAUGGAUGAUAUUAGAUGGUUACGUAGUUCAUAUUUGUGUCCAGAAAGCACUUGUCA